rnacentral:rRNA from 1 species
GACGAACGCUGGCGGCGUGCUUAACACAUGCAAGUCGAGCGGAAAGGCCCUUCGGGGUACUCGAGCGGCGAACGGGUGAGUAACACGUGAGUAACCUGCCCCAGACUUUGGGAUAACCCUCGGAAACGGGGGCUAAUACCGGAUACGACACAGCUUCGCAUGGGGUCUGUGUGGAAAGUUUUUCGGUUUGGGAUGGGCUCGCGACCUAUCAGCUUGUUGGUGGGGUGAUGGCCUACCAAGGCGACGACGGGUAGCCGGCCUGAGAGGGCGACCGGCCACACUGGGACUGAGACACGGCCCAGACUCCUACGGGAGGCAGCAGUGGGGAAUAUUGCACAAUGGGCGGAAGCCUGAUGCAGCGACGCCGCGUGAGGGAUGACGGCCUUCGGGUUGUAAACCUCUUUCAGCAGGGACGAAGCGUAAGUGACGGUACCUGCAGAAGAAGCGCCGGCCAACUACGUG